rnacentral:rRNA from 1 species
AACGUAGGGGGCAAGCGUUGUCCGGAUUUAUUGGGCGUAAAGAGCGUGUAGGCGGCUUUACAGGUCCGUUGUGAAAACUCGAGGCUCAACCUCGAGACGCCGGUGGAAACCGUAAAGCUAGAGUCCGGAAGAGGAGAGUGGAAUUCCUGGUGUAGCGGUGAAAUGCGCAGAUAUCAGGAAGAACACCCGUGGCGAAGGCGGCUCUCUGGGACGGUACUGACGCUGAGACGCGAAAGCGUGGGGAGCGAACAGG